rnacentral:lncRNA from 10 species
GCUCUUCUAUUCCUUUUUUCAAGUCCCUUGUGGGCAUGAAUGUGGUCAUGGAACUCAAGAAAGACCUGAACAUCUGUGGCACCCUCCAUUCGGUGGAUCAGUAUCUCAACAUCAAAUGAGCUGACAUCAGUAUCACACACCUUGAGAAAUAUCCUCACAUUUUAUCAGUGAAGAACUUCUAGGCUGGGUGCAGUGGCUCACACCUGUAACCCCAGCACUUUGGGAGGCCAAGGCAGGUGGAUCACCUGAGGUCAGGAGUUUGAGACCAGCCUGGCCAACAUGGCAAAACCCCAUCUCUACUAAAAUACAAAACUUAGCCGGAUGUGGUGGCGGGCGCCUGUAUUCACAGCUACUCGGGAAGCUGAGGCAGGAGAGUUGCUGGAACCCGGGAGGUGGAGGCUGCAGUGAGCUGAAAUCAUGCCACUGCACUCCAGCCUGGGUGACAGAGCGAGACUCUGUCUCAAAAAAAGUUUUUUAAAAAGGACUGUUUCAUUCCGGGCUCAGUGGUCCCAUACGUGCAGUUGCCAGCAAAGGAGGUCGACACACAGUUGCCAUAGCAUGCAGCAAGGAAGAAAGCCAGCAGUAGUAAGUGACAGCCCCUCCUUCUCUUCCCUUCCCUCUUCCUUGGUGACCUGUAACUCCAAGUCCCAGCCCAGGACCCCUAACUCCCAAUACUUGAAGGGGUUUUGUUUGUUUUUUUACUAAUGAUGGUUUUGUGGGUUUUUUUUAAAAAAGGGAAGAGUGGAUAAGGGGAAUAAUAGGGAACAGGUAUCCUUUGUUGAGAAAGGGAGAAGAGGUAGGCUGGGAAACUCCAAAGCCUUCCCAGUCCCCAGCACCUGCCGUUCUCACUACCUCCCUGGAGAUGGUGGGAGGGAGGGCUUCCUAGGUCUUUCCAGGGUACCAUGUGAUUCACCUGGGGGUUGAAAGGAAUCUGUCCCAUAUUGGGAAUAACAUUUAUGAUGCAA